GGAUCUUCAAACCGUGGGAGUGGUGCGGCGGCUAGAGUCCCUGGACUCCUCAACCUAGGGAGCUACUCGCGAGAGGAAUUCAGAAAAGCAGCUCAGCAACAGGAAGAACAAGAAGAAAAGGAGGAAGAGGAUGAUGAACAAACACUCCACAGAGCCCGGGAGUGGGAUGACUGGAAGGACACCCAUCCUAGGGGCUAUGGGAACCGACAGAACAUGGGCUGAUCUUCCCACAACACCACAGGACUGCAGGGUGCACAACUCCCCUGCCAAGGAAAACCAUGCAGUCCUCCCCUCCCUGGUCUCCUGCUUCAGCUCUGUACAACGAGGGCAAAGAUGCUAAAUCUUGCUUUGCAUUCAGUAAAGUGUCAAGUGAUUAAGUGUGUAUUUGUACCCUAGAUGAUAUGAACCAGCAGUCUUGUUUUGGCAUCAUCCUCAUCAUGUUGUAUUCCAGCUUCUUAAGUGGAAGGAAAAGAGUGCUGAGAAAUGGCUCUGUAUAAUCUAUGGCUAUCCGAAUUCUCUGAAAAAAUAAUAAAAGUCCCCUCUAUUAUAUGAGCCUGUACAG
rnacentral:lncRNA from 1 species